AAGUCGUAACAAGGUUUCCGUAGGUGAACCUGCGGAAGGAUCAUUAUUGAAUAAACCUGAUGUGGUUGUAGCUGGCCCUUUCGAGGGUAUGUGCACACCCGUCAUCUUUAUCUUUCCACUUGUGCACCUUUUGUAGACCUGGAUGUAACACUUUCCGAGGCAACUCGGUCGAGAGGAAUGCUGUCAGCUUUCCUUGAAUGUCCAGGCCUAUGUUUUCACAUACCCCAAAGAAUGUAACAGAAUGUAUUAUUGGGCCUUGUGCCUAUAAACUAUAUACAA
rnacentral:misc_RNA from 1 species